AGGACGAACGCUGGCGGCGUGCCUAAUACAUGCAAGUCGAGCGGAUCUGAUGAGGUGCUUGCACCUCUGAAGGUUAGCGGCGGACGGGUGAGUAACACGUAGGCAACCUGCCCUCAAGACCGGGAUAACAUUCGGAAACGAAUGCUAAGACCGGAUACGCGGGGCGCUCGCAUGAGCGCUUCGGGAAACACGGUGCAAGCUGUGGCUUGAGGAUGGGCCUGCGGCGCAUUAGCUAGUUGGUGGGGUAACGGCUCACCAAGGCGACGAUGCGUAGCCGACCUGAGAGGGUGAACGGCCACACUGGGACUGAGACACGGCCCAGACUCCUACGGGAGGCAGCAGUAGGGAAUCUUCCACAAUGGGCGAAAGCCUGAUGGAGCAACGCCGCGUGAGUGAGGAAGGCUUUCGGGUCGUAAAGCUCUGUUGCCAGGGAAGAAUAAGGGCUAGUUAACUGCUAGUCUGAUGACGGUACCUGAGAAGAAAGCCCCGGCUAACUACGUGCCAGCAGCCGCGGUAAUACGUAGGGGGCAAGCGUUGUCCGGAAUUAUUGGGCGUAAAGCGCGCGCAGGCGGCUCUUUAAGUCUGGUGUUUAAGUGCGGGGCUCAACCCCGUGACGCACUGGAAACUGGGGAGCUUGAGUGCAGAAGAGGAGAGCGGAAUUCCACGUGUAGCGGUGAAAUGCGUAGAGAUGUGGAGGAACACCAGUGGCGAAGGCGGCUCUCUGGACUGUAACUGACGCUGAGGCGCGAAAAGCGUGGGGAGCAAACAGGAUUAGAUACCCUGGUAGUCCACGCCGUAAACGAUGAGUGCUAGGUGUUGGGGGGAUCGCCCCCUCGGUGCCGAAGUUAACACAUUAAGCACUCCGCCUGGGGAGUACGGUCGCAAGACUGAAACUCAAAGGAAUUGACGGGGACCCGCACAAGCAGUGGAGUAUGUGGUUUAAUUCGAAGCAACGCGAAGAACCUUACCAGGUCUUGACAUCCCUCUGACCGGUCUAGAGAUAGGCCUUUCCUUCGGGACAGAGGAGACAGGUGGUGCAUGGUUGUCGUCAGCUCGUGUCGUGAGAUGUUGGGUUAAGUCCCGCAACGAGCGCAACCCUUGAACUUAGUUGCCAGCACGUCAUGGUGGGCACUCUAGGUUGACUGCCGGUGACAAACCGGAGGAAGGCGGGGAUGACGUCAAAUCAUCAUGCCCCUUAUGACCUGGGCUACACACGUACUACAAUGGCCGGUACAACGGGUAGCGAAACCGCGAGGUGGAGCCAAUCCUAUCAAAGCCGGUCUCAGUUCGGAUUGCAGGCUGCAACUCGCCUGCAUGAAGUCGGAAUUGCUAGUAAUCGCGGAUCAGCAUGCCGCGGUGAAUACGUUCCCGGGUCUUGUACACACCGCCCGUCACACCACGAGAGUUUACAACACCCGAAGUCGGUGGGGUAACCCGCAAGGGAGCCAGCCGCCGAAGGUGGGGUAGAUGAUUGGGGUG
rnacentral:rRNA from 1 species